UGCCUACCUUGACUAAUUUUGUGAUUACUAGCGCUGAAUUCUUUUUGUGUUUAACAAAAGGGAGGGGUUGGAUAUUUAUUCUUUUUAAAUUAGUAUUUAAUUGCUCUUCCUUUCUCAUCCAACAACCCCUAUCUCUCACUACACAUACACACAAAUUACAGUCUAUAUACACCAGUACACUUCAGCUUACACACAAACAUACACCACAGAACAGCCCAUAACAAACACUCACUACAGACACUAGACAUAUACUACAACACUAAUCCUGUUUAUGGGGACAUCAGAGACGAUUUAGCAGUAAGCACAGUGCAAGCAUGUCACUAAAUUUGCAUGUUUUGUAUAGAACAAACACAGGGCAUUUUCCCCAAGUGAAAAAUCUGUAGUAGAGAUCUGUGCAUGGGUUGCCAUGGUAGGGCAUCAAAGUAACAAGCUCAAUAGUCACUAGUCUCCUGAAUAGCAGUUCAAAUGAGGAGAAGUCUGUGGAUUCCUGUGGCACCUCCCGGUAUGCAAAGAGGAGGUGCAGCAGGAAUCUUUCCCAGUCUCUGCUAGUGGCGCAUUUGCUCACAUUAUUUGAAAGCAGCCUCUAUUAAGUAGACUCUUUCAAGUAGGAGUUAGAAAACCAGGAGUUAAAACUAACAAGGGGUUCAAACUAUCAAGGUAAUUGUUUUUAUUUACUGUUUAAAGGGGAAAUGAGUGUUAGCAAGAUUGCUGGUUUAACUCAAUGCACAUCUUGUUGCAUGUAUGCAGGGCCGUCUGUAACACGGGGCAAAAGGGGCAGCUGCCCCGGACCCAGUCAGUCUUAGGGGGCCCAAAGUAGCUGCCCCUUUAGCCCUCCGGCUGCCAUGGUGCGUGCGGCCCGCGUGGAACUACCACCGCAGGUCGCGCGAUGUGAAGGCUCAUCCACCCGCCAAUGCUCUAAGGGCCACCCUAAAGCGAUGGAUUUUAAGGGGCCCGGCCGCUUUGAGAGCACGACCGGGCCCCCUGUGAUGAUCCCGCGCGGGAGGAGGAGAAGA